rnacentral:rRNA from 1 species
AGGAUGAACGCUGGCGGCGUGCCUAAUACAUGCAAGUCGAGCGAACGGACGAGAAGCUUGCUUCUCUGAUGUUAGCGGCGGACGGGUGAGUAACACGUGGAUAACCUACCUAUAAGACUGGGAUAACUUCGGGAAACCGGAGCUAAUACCGGAUAAUAUUUUGAACCGCAUGGUUCAAAAGUGAAAGACGGUCUUGCUGUCACUUAUAGAUGGAUCCGCGCUGCAUUAGCUAGUUGGUAAGGUAACGGCUUACCAAGGCAACGAUGCAUAGCCGACCUGAGAGGGUGAUCGGCCACACUGGAACUGAGACACGGUCCAGACUCCUACGGGAGGCAGCAGUAGGGAAUCUUCCGCAAUGGGCGAAAGCCUGACGGAGCAACGCCGCGUGAGUGAUGAAGGUCUUCGGAUCGUAAAACUCUGUUAUUAGGGAAGAACAUAUGUGUAAGUAACUGUGCACAUCUUGACGGUACCUAAUCAGAAAGCCACGGCUAACUACGUGCCAGCAGCCGCGGUAAUACGUAGGUGGCAAGCGUUAU